rnacentral:rRNA from 1 species
GUCCACUACCAUACCGCCCUGAACAUGCCCAAUCUCGUCUGAUCUUGGAAGCUAAGCAGGGCCGGGCCUGGUUAGUAUUUGGAUGGGAGACCGCCUGGGAAUACUGGGUGCUGUUGGGG